CACGUGGGGAACCUGCCCCAUAGUCUGGGAUACCACUUGGAAACAGGUGCUAAUACCGGAUAAGAAAGCAGAUCGCAUGAUCAGCUUUUAAAAGGCGGCGUAAGCUGUCGCUAUGGGAUGGCCCCGCGGUGCAUUAGCUAGUUGGUAAGGUAAAGGCUUACCAAGGCGAUGAUGCAUAGCCGAGUUGAGAGACUGAUCGGCCACAUUGGGACUGAGACACGGCCCAAACUCCUACGGGAGGCAGCAGAG
rnacentral:rRNA from 1 species